rnacentral:rRNA from 1 species
CCUACGGGAGGCAGCAGUAAGGAAUAUUGGUCAAUGGGCGCAAGCCUGAACCAGCCAUGCCGCGUGCAGGAAGACGGCCCUACGGGUUGUAAACUGCUUUUGCAGGGGAAUAAACCUCAUUACGUGUAAUGAGCUGAAUGUACUCUGAGAAUAAGGAUCGGCUAACUCCGUGCCAGCAGCCGCGGUAAUACGGAGGAUCCAAGCGUUAUCCGGAUUUAUUGGGUUUAAAGGGUGCGUAGGCGGCCUAUUAAGUCAGGGGUGAAAGACGGUAGCUUAACUAUCGCAGUGCCUUUGAUACUGAUAGGCUUGAAUGGACUAGAGGUAGGCGGAAUGUGACAAGUAGCGGUGAAAUGCAUAGAUAUGUCACAGAACACCAAUUGCGAAGGCAGCUUACUAUGGUUUAAUUGACGCUGAGGCACGAAAGCGUGGGGAUCAAACAGGAUUAGAUACCCUGGUAGUCCACGCCCUAAACGAUGAACACUCGAUGUUAGCGAUAUACAGUUAGCGUCUAAGCGAAAGCGUUAAGUGUUCCACCUGGGGAGUACGCCCGCAAGGGUGAAACGUUAAAGGAAUUGACGG